UACAGAGGGGGCAAGCGUUGUUCGGAAUUACUGGGCGUACAGGGAGCGUAGGCGGUUGGAUAAGCCCUCCGUGAAAUCUCCAGGCUUAACCUGGAAAGUGCAGAGGGGACUGUUCAGCUAGAGGAUGGGAGAGGAGCGCGGAAUUCACGGUGUAGCGGUGAAAUGCGUAGAGAUCGGGAGGAAGGCCGGUGGCGAAGGCGGCGCUCUGGAACAUUUCUGACGCUGAGGCUCGAAAGCGUGGGGAGCAAACAGG
rnacentral:rRNA from 1 species